rnacentral:rRNA from 1 species
UACGUAGGGGGCGAGCGUUGUCCGGAUUUAUUGGGCGUAAAGAGCUCGUAGGCGGUUUGGUAAGUCGGGUGUGAAAUCUCCACGCUCAACGUGGAGGGGCCACUCGAUACUGCCAUGACUCGAGUCCGGUAGAGGAGUGUGGAAUUCCCGGUGUAGCGGUGAAGUGCGCAGAUAUCGGGAGGAACACCCGUAGCGAAGGAGGCACUCUGGGCCGGAACUGACGCUGAGGAGCGAAAGCGUGGGGAGCAAACAGG